rnacentral:rRNA from 1 species
GACGAACGCUGGCGGCGUGCCUAAUACAUGCAAGUCGAGCGCGGGAAGCAGACUGAAGCCUUCGGGCGGACGUCUGUGGAACGAGCGGCGGAUGGGUGAGUAACACGUGGGCAACCUGCCUGUAAGCUCGGGAUAACUAGCGGAAACGCUAGCUAAUACCGAAUAACGCUGCGCACCGCAUGGCGCGCAGAUGAAAGGCGGCGCAAGCUGCCACUUACAGAUGGGCCCGCGGCGCAUUAGCUAGUUGGUGGGGUAACGGCCUACCAAGGCGACGAUGCGUAGCCGACCUGAGAGGGUGAUCGGCCACACUGGGACUGAGACACGGCCCAGACUCCUACGGGAGGCAGCAGUAGGGAAUAUUCCGCAAUGGGCGAAAGCCUGACGGAGCGACGCCGCGUGAGCGAUGAAGGUCUUCGGAUCGUAAAGCUCUGUUGUUAGGGAAGAACAAGUACCGGAGUAACUGCCGGUACCUUGACGGUACCUAACCAGAAAGCCCCGGCUAACUACGUGCCAGCAGCCGCGGUAAUACGUAGGGGGCGAGCGUUGUCCGGAAUUAUUGGGCGUAAAGGGCGCGUAGGCGGUCUCUUAAGUCUGAUGUGAAAGCCCCCGGCUUA